rnacentral:lncRNA from 1 species
CACAGUUCUGUUGGAGGAGGUUGCUCCUCCCAGAGAGCUAGAGCCAGGCUUCUCCGGAGCUGGAGACUCAGGGCUGGGCGUCGAACUCUCGUCACUUCUGUGAUACAGCAAGUCCCAGCCGAGCCCAGAUUUAAACCGCGGUGGAAUACCCUCCACCGCUGGGAGGGUGCCUGCCCCGUCGUGAAGGGGUUGGCAGUGGCGUAUGAUCUGUCAGUUAAGGCAGUCGCCUAAGCUCGCGAAGCUGGGAAGGGCUGGGCCCCGAAGGCUCUGCUGUGUGGGGCUCCCCUGCAGCAGUCAGGCAGGAGAGGGGACGGUCACUUCUUCGUGCAAACCCACUUUGGGCGGUGUGGUCCACCAUAGCUCCCCCUCAUACUCUGGUGCUGGUUUGGGACCUAGAGGGACAUUUGCUGCAAUUGUCCUUCGAAAGCUUUCCUGGAGAUGGACUCUGCCAACUGCCCUCUGUGGCCUGCGCACACGCGGACAAUGGCUGGUGUGAGUGACCUCCAAGCCGCUCAACAGCAGAAACUGUGUGCUGGUUGUUAAUUAUUUUUUCUUUACUAAGAUAUCUGAGUGCAAUAAAGCAUUUGUUUGUAUGAAGAGAGAAAUUUUAUUAGAUCAAAAUUUAAUCUAAGUUUUAUUAUGAAUCUGGUUCAUGCAGUGACUUCUUCAGCGGGUCUGAGGAGGAGACGCUGGCGCUAUGUUCUGCAACAGUAGCUUUCAUGGCAGAGUGACAGAGCCCUGGAAAUUAGCCCUGUCUGCUGCGAACAAUGAAGGAAGUCAGGACAGAACAGAAUAAAAUGAAACUCUGAGCAAGAUGCAGACUGAUAAAGUUUAGAUUAGCCGUAAAUAGAAUCGUUGGGUGUAACAGUGAGAGGCUGACAGCUGGUUAAUUCAGUGAACACAUUACUCAGACCCAGUUUGAUUCAAAUUGCAUUUUCAGUAUUGAGGAAGUAAUACCUGGAUUUUGGAUUUUGAAGACAGGGUUCGCUUGCUGUCUGGAACGUACACUCCAAAAGGCCAAAGGCUCCUCGUUCUGUGCAUCCAGCCCCUCCUCUGCUCAGCACCAGGAGGGUUCAGCAGCACACAGGAGAUUCUCAGUCUUGGAGUAACUUAAGGGGCGUCCUCUGGUCCUUGUAAUCCUGUCCCAGGCUUUUCAGGAAUCGUGGGCUUUAUUUUUGCAAUGUUCACAAGGAUGAGAUUGUAUCUAUUUUAUGUAACUUGCAUUUGGGCCUUUUUAUUCACAAAAGCAAAGAUUCUGAGCACGGCAUAUAAUUGGAGUUUGGCAAGGCUACUUUGUAGCAAUAAUGAAAAUGUGAGUUUAAGGUAAGUGGCACCUCCAGAAACUCCCAGGAGGCCCCAGCAGCCUCCGUUCUGCAGAGCUCAGCAGGAGGACAAGUGGGUCUGGGCUCAGGGCACGAUGGGGACCUUGCUCCUCUGCAGCCAGCACAGUCGGGCUUGUUCAAUCUGAGGGCUCUUCACUAUGUGGUGUGAAUCCUGUCCCCAGCCUUCUGCCUUCCCCUUUACCCUAGGAAGUGGAGUACAUCCUGCUGCUGUGGGUGGCCCCGGCAAGGCACAGUGUCACCUCCAAAGAAACGCAGUCCAGUGGCCAACACUCACCCUGACUUCAGUCUCCAACUGUGCAUUUAGAGAAGCUUGAAAGGCGUCCGGCUCCUUACUCUCGGAUGUUUCUCCAGCCUCCUUCUCCCUUCCAGCGUCUGUCCUGCUGCCCUCCCCAGCCUGCAGGGCCCCUAUCUGUCCGGGCCACGCCCUCUGAGGUGCAGGGCUGCAGGAUCACUGCGGCUUCCUGCCCAGCCGGGCAGCAGGUCCCUGCAAGUCUCCUACUAUGGGUUUGUUCCUGGUUUUCCACUCUCCUCUGUUUUCUCUCCAUGUGAGUUGGCGGGUCUGGGUCUCGGGAAUCCACGAAAUAACGUGCUGGGAUUUUGUCUUGUGGUGAAGGGAUCCAGAGAGAGACUUCCUGUGUAGCUCUCUGCCUGUUUCCUCUUUAAACUUUUCCCUCUCUUCUUGGAUGAGGGUGUAUAGCAAAUACACUUCUUUAAAAAGAGAGAGAAACGAAAAGACUUAUUAACGCUUUUCUAUGAUUGUUAGAAAGUCCGACCUACAGAUGUUCUGAUUGUAUGGGAAGCUGACCAGAACGGAAUUGGUUACUUUUCUUUAAAAACCUCUAGGAAAGGGGCUGGAGCCUGGACAGGGGAGGGCAGCUUCAGGAAUCUCUGAUGGAAACUGGCGACGGCAGACGGGCAGCUGGAGCUGUGUGUAGCUGCACAGGCUCUGCUUGCCUUUGGUGUCUUUGCAGCCUCUUUCACCAGGUAGAGGCAAUUUAGAGGAUCACAGAAGACUGCAGGUGUGUUUUGGGGUGCUGAGGAGGGAGCCCAGAGCCUCCCACAUGCCUGGCAAGUUCUCCAACUCGCAGCAGCACCUCAGCCCACAAUGAUUGUUUUUUAAAAAGUUUCCAACAUAAGGAGGCAAGCGAGCAGCGGUUGCUCCAGUGGUCCGCAGACGGUGCGGCGUCUCGAGGAAACAGCAUCGGCUCUGGUCAUGGGGGGCAGCAGGACUCGUGUGGGAGGCAGAGAAGACGCAGGAAAGGAGAGGGUGCUUUGAUGAGGUACUCUGCCUGCAGCGCAGCACAUCAGUGGACCCGGAUCUCCCAGGACCUCUCUGGCCUGGUUACCAUGGUGACAACAGCAUUCGAGUCUCAGAUGAGCCUCUCCUUUUCAUGAGCUGGGUCUCUAUCUGUGGUACACUUUUCCUUAUCUACCACGGACCAGUGCCUGCAGCGUCGCCUCCACCUGGAACCUUGCUAGAAACCAUCUCAGCUCCUGGGUCCCAGAAGUCCCAGGUGAUCCACAUGCACAAAGGAGAUGGAGACCACUGGUACAUUCCCUGCGGUCCCUGGGCUUCAGUUUUGCUUCUGAAGGACGGGGGUAGAGGACGCUGGCCACUGGUAAGAGGCCUCCCCUGAGCACUUCUCGGCGGAUGGCGUGGCUGUCACUUCUCCCUCUUCUCUGUCGUACCGGCGAGGCCAUCACUGGUAAUCAGGACCCUUGCAUUAAGGUCUGUUUUCCACAUGGUCAUCACACCCAGGAGGGGCGGGAUUUCCUGCCCAGCCUGUUGCUUGCCUGCUGGAUUUGUGAUGGCUGAUCCAAGCCCACGUCAAGUGGUGAACCUGUCCUCAGCUAGAUGGGCUCUUAAUGACCCUGCUCACUCUGGCUUAGUCCACUUUUGUUACUAUACUGAAAUACCCAAGGAAGGAUAAUUUAUAAGGUCUAUUUGGUUCACUGUUCUGGAGGUUCAAGGGUCCCAUCUGGAGAAUUCUAGGGCAGCCCAUGGCCAGGGGCAGGGAGAGCAGAGGUGUUCUCUCAUCUCUGUCCCUUCUUAUAAAGCCACCAAGGUUCAACCAUGGGCCUGCCCUGAGCUAGCCCUAACCUCCUUGUGGCCCAGCCACACAGCCAGCUAAGUCUCCUCCCUCUCAGUGCCUCGCAGUGGAGGCUGGACUCCAACAUGAUUUCUGAGGGGCUGGACCACAGCACCUGGUCUUCAGGAAGCACCACUUUUCCUAAUUCUAAUUAGGGAGAUCUCCUCUCUGUAUCCUGUGGCUGGAUUUUCACAGUGAAAAAUUGAAAAGAUGUUAUUGUCUGAAAACAUUCUUCUGGCCAGGCGUGGUGGUGCACACCUGAAAUUCCAGCAGCUCAGGAGGCUGAGGCAGGAGGAUCGUGAGCUCAAAGCCAGCCUUGGCAACUUAGCAAGACCU